rnacentral:piRNA from 1 species
UGUGUUCGUAUUCAACUUCCAAGGGUAGA